UUCCUCCCAGAGUCCAAAGAUGUGCAGGUUAGGUGAAUAGGCCGUGCUAAGUUGCCCGUAGUGUUCAGGGAUGAGUUGAUCAGGUGCAUUUGUCAAGGGAAAUGUCGAGUAAUAGGGAGGUGAAUGAGUGGAUUACUCUUCGGAGGGUCAGUGUGGACUU